rnacentral:rRNA from 1 species
GGCGGACGGGUGAGUAACGCGUGGGUAACCUGCCUCAUACAGGGGGAUAACAGUUAGAAAUGGCUGCUAAUACCGCAUAAGACCACGGUACUGCAUGGUACAGUGGUAAAAACUCCGGUGGUAUGAGAUGGCCCCGCGUCUGAUUAGGUAGUUGGUGAGGUAACGGCCCACCAAGCCGACGAUCAGUAGCCGACCUGAGAGGGUGACCGGCCACAUUGGGACUGAGACACGGCCCAG